ACCUAAUAAGAUUAAUUGAAUAACUAAAAUUGUGGUCAUUUUAUUUCUAUCUUUCCA
rnacentral:antisense_RNA from 1 species